AUCAUAACGUCUCGACUGUCACAUGUUGUGGAGCAUAACAUCUGUUCCCGACCCAUGGUUCACACCCUUAAACGGUAUAUAGGUUACGGUAUAUAGGUUAUUUAAGAAAAUUCUAAAAAAACUUGGCAAUUGACUAAAGUAGUAGUUUCGUUUCUUUAUUUGUUUUGGUUUAUAUGUAAGCAAAUAAAUGUUCAAUUAAUUCUUGAUGUGUUUUGUGCUUACGCGUAACUUGUCGUUGUGGUCUUUUACUCGUCGUGA